UACGUAGGGACCAAGCGUUGUUCGGAUUCAUUGGGCGUAAAGGGUGCGUAGGUGGCGAGGCAAGUCGGAUGUGAAAUCCCGGGGCUUAACCCCGGAACUGCAUUCGAUACUGCCUUGCUCGAGUACUGGAGAGGAGACUGGAAUUUACGGUGUAGCAGUGAAAUGCGUAGAUAUCGUAAGGAAGACCAGUGGCGAAGGCGAGUCUCUGGACAGUUACUGACACUGAGGCACGAAGGCCAGGGGAGCAAACGGG
rnacentral:rRNA from 1 species